rnacentral:rRNA from 1 species
UCUCGUAUUAAAAUCGACUCUGAUAACUUCGUAGAGCAUAUGAAAACGUGACGUAAUAUUAUUAAAGGAACUCGGCAAAUUUAACUGUAACUUCGGGAAAAAGAAAAUCUUUUAUUGAUAUCACUAAUCAAGGAUGGCGACUGUUUACUAAAAACACAGGACUUUGCAAAAUAAUUAAAUAUGAUGUAUAAGGUCUGAAGUCUGUCCAAUGAUAAUAAUAAACUAGAAUAGUUUCGCUAUUUUUAUAUGUUAUAUUCAAUGACGGCUGUACCUAUAACGGUCUUAAAGUAGCAAAAUUCGUCGCCUGGUAAUUACAGACGUGCAUGAAUGACAUAACGAUCCGUCCUACUGUCUCUAAUAAUAUGUCUAUGAAAUUGAAAUAUUAGUGAAGAUGCUUAUUUUUUUUAGCUAGACGGAAAGACCCUGGCAUUUUCACUGUAAAAUUAUAAUGUUUUGCUUAAUAAAUAAUGUAGUAGAGGUGGUAAU